ACCGUUCCUCGAAAUAAUCUUUAUAUUCAACUCAUGGGUCCUUCCCUUCAUGGGUAUAGACCUUGAUAUUACAUUCUCCAUCUAAUUUUCAUAUUCAUAUUAAUAAGGGGUGUUGUUGUGUUUGUGAAUGAAUGUGUAUGUGUGUGUGUGUGUGUGUGUGUUGAGAAUCAUGUCAGCUCUUUCUUUAGUGACCUUCUCAGAAGUCAUUGACUAUCAUGAGGUCAGGGAGGGAAACUUCAUGAAAUGCUUUCUGGGAGAUCCUACUAAAAGCUGUGUUUAAUGGUGGUGAAUGGACUGGUUGUAGGACAAAGUUUCAAUCAAUAUGAUACCAGUUCAAAAGACAUUUCUGUGCCUGGACAGCCUAUGAGCUUUUCUAAACAAAGUGAGGCUUGGCCUUUGUGACCUCACAUAAGGGUCACUGUCCAGGUUAUGGGUGUGUCCUAGUUCUGAGGGCAGCAGAGUCUAUUAUAGAAGAAGGUGCCAGGGGUCCCUUUCAGGAAUAUUGGCCAUAGAUGAUGGCUAACAACAAAGUAGUUUUGGAAAAAUAUGGACUCAAAUGUAUGCUGUACUUCGAUCCCAAAAAGAAUCAGAUACCUUGACCCUGAAAAUCUGUGGACCUACAUAGGUGGGCCCGAAAAGUAAUAGGCCCAGAAAAAAAACAAAAAACAAAAACAAAAAAAGUAUGUGUCCUGGCCAAACACAGACCUUGAAGGAGUCCAUGUCCAAAACAAGUAGAGAUGCAGGUUUGGGCAGGUCCCUGACUAUGAAGAGGCCCGAGCCCAAAGGAAAUAGUGAUGUGGGCCUGGGACUUUCCCUAACCCUUGAAGAGGCCCAGACCCAGAGAAGAAGAAAUAUGGGCCUGGGCCAAUCCCUGACCCUAAAGAGGCCUGGGUCCAAAAAAACAUGAUGUGGGCCUGGGCCCAUCCUUACCCCUUGAAGAGGCCUGGGCCCAAAAGGAAGAAAUAUGGGUCUGGGCUAAUCCCUGACCCUGAAGAGGCCUGGGCCCAAAGGAAGAAGUGAUUUGGGCCUGGGCCUGUCCAUAGUUGUUGAAGAGGCCUGGGCCUAAAGGAAGAAGUGAUGUGGGCCUGGGCCUAUCCUUACUGAUUGAAGAGGCCUGGGCUCAAAAAUAAGAAAUAUGGGCCUGGGCCAAUCCCUGACCCUCACGAGGCCUGGGUCCAAAAAAAAAGUGUCAUGGACCUGGGCCUAUCCUUACCGGUUGAAGAGGCCUGGACCCAAAAAGAAGACAUAUGGGCCUGGGCCAAUCCCUGACCUAGAAGAGGCCUGGGCCCAAAGGAAUAAAUGAUGUGGGCCUGGGCCUAUCCCUAACCCUUGAAGAGGCCUGGGCCCAAAGAAAAAGAAAUAUGGGCCUGGACCAAUCUCUGACCCUAAAGAGGCCUAGGCCCAAAUGAAGAAGUGAUUUGGGCCUGGGCCUAUCCCUAGUCCUAGAGGAGACCUGGGCCGAAAGGAAGAAGUGAUGUGGGCCUGGGCCUAUCCCUAACCCUUUAAGAGGCCUGGGCCCAAAGAAGAAAUAUGGGCCUGGGCAAAUCCCUGACCCAGAAGAGGCCAGUACCCAAAAAGGUGAUAUGGGACUGGACCUAUCCCUAACCCUUGAAGAGACCUAGGCCCAAAGAAGAAGAAAUAUGGGCUUGGCCCAAUUCCUGACCUGAAGAGGCCUGGUCCCAAAGGAAGAAUUGAUGUGGGCCUGGGCUUAUCCCUAACCCUUGAAGAGGCCUGGGACCAAAUUUGAUCAGGGUCUUGGCCUUUCCCCAACCCUUGAAGAAGCGUGGGCCCAAAGGAAGACGUCUUGUGGGCGUGGGCCAAUCCCUGACCCUGAACACGCCUGGGCCAAAAUUAAGAGAUGGAGUCUUGGACUAUCCUUAGUCCUUAAGAGACUCAGGCCCAGAGUAUAAGAGAUGUGGACCUAGGCCUAUUUCUGAACUUCAAGAAGCCUGAGUCCUAAUCAAGAAUUGGCUAUAGAUGUAGGCUAGUUCUUCAAAUACCAAGGCUUGAGGCAAAAGAUUAUUGCCAAUCUCAACCAUUUCAAUACAGUUUGAGCCCAAAUGUAAUAUCUAAAUUGUCUUGUAUUUACUGUUACUCAAAGAAACCUUGUCCCAAACAAAUAAAUGUGGCCAGGUCAAGCCUAAAAUGAAACAACACUGUGGUCAGUAUACCAUGAAGUGGUCUGAUUCAAGGUCUUAAUUUCAACUGAUACCAUGACUAUUUAUGCCUAGGCCAUACCCACUACUCUAGGAUUAUUGGGCACAACCACCAGAGGUUCUGGUACAAUAAUGGCAAAGACCAUAGAGUGACAUCAGAGGGAUCCUGGCAGCUCCCUGACUACAGAAUACCCAAGGUCCAACUUAAAUUCAAUUGUGUGUGAGCUACUCUCUCCCUUUUUAAGAUCGUUGACAACUUUCACUACAAGGAAGCCAGGACCACACCAAGGUCUUGUAGUCUUACAUCAUUCUUUAACAGACAUUUCAUACUCCAGCACUGUGUAUAUAGUUUUCAAUAAAUACAAUGUUCAUCUGCUA